rnacentral:lncRNA from 1 species
GGCAGUGCGCAGGCGCGCUUCCGUGGAGCAGUCCUUUGGCCCCAGCAGAGGGCUUGACCGUGGUCCUGGCCCCGGACUGAGGUGUCUGCGACCCGGCGCGCUGCUGCCGUCGCUGGGGUGGGGCCGGGCCCCGGAGGAAGCCGCUUUCCCGGCGGGGGUGGGCGGCCCAGGGACCGGGAGCAGGUCUGGUCCUCGCGGGGCCGUGUGCGAAGGCCUCCUGCGCGGCCUGGGGCUGGGAGGACAGGGCGGCGGCGGGAAUGAGGGCGCCCCCCAGGCUCCAGGAGGGCGGGGAAGGGUGGGGGCGGCUGACGCCACGCGGACCCGGGCGGCACGGAUCGGGUGUGUAGCUGCGAGGCCCGGUGGGCCGGCGGCGACGUCGGCAGCCGAAGUAGGGACAGCCCCGGAGCACGAGCAGGCCCAGCAGCAGCCCCAGGGCCGCCCCCCCGCCGCCCCCCAGUGAAGGAAGGGGACUUGUGUUAGUGUCCUCACGCCUGGUUCGUACAGGCUGGCGGUUGUCCUGGGGGUUUCCAGCGAGGAAUGUGUUGGGGAGCGCUCCUGGGUGUGGCUGCUGGGUAGGAGGGGAAGGCAGGGUCAGCAGCCCCUGGGGCGACCGUAAAGUGGGUGGCCCUUCAAAUUCAAGGCACUGGAACAAGGGGGCUGGGCCCUCCUGCCCACCAGGCCCGUCAUUGGCUGCAGGCCUCCCGGGACGGCGAGCUGGCUCCUGGGCCCCUGUCCUUUGGACCAGGGCCGCCCUGAGGGCUGGCACAGCUACCUUCUCCACUGUGGCCCCAUCCCCGCCACAGGAGAGAGAGCCGCCUUUACCCGACAUGAGCAGGAGUUCGAGGAACAUCUGGACGAGCAAAGGCCACCAGGAGGUAGCACAGCAAAAAAGGCCAAGAGCCUGUUUUCUUUACCGAUGGCUGGCGGCAAAUAUUCCGAAAGAAACGUGUCAGGCAAGAAGCGCUAGUUCACGCCUGUCAUUCCACCGCUUUGGGAGGCCAAGGCAGGGGGAUCACUUGCCCCAGAAGUUUGAGACCAGCCUGGGCAACAUAGUGAGGCCCCUGUCUCUACAAAAAACUUAAAAUCAAUAAACAGGUCUCCUUCCUUCCUCAAUAGUCCUGUUGGUGGCUCACCUCUCUGCCUCUCCAGAUGUGAGGCAGAUCCACACGUUUAGCUAUUGAGAUAAGGCUGGGCGUGGUGGCUCACACCUGUCAUUCCGGCCUCAGAUCUCUUGUGCCCAGGAGUUUUAAGACUAGCCUGGGCGACCUGGCUGGCAACAUGGCCUCCACAAAAAUAAAUAAAACAUUUUAAAUAUAUAAACAUUGAGAUAAUAGCAUCUUGAUGCCUGUCUUCAUUUUUUGUCUUCUGUUUUAAGGACUAUUAGAGACAAACUAACCAAAGAUAAUUCUCCCCUCCCAUGUGGCUCGUGCUGGGACGCCGGCACCGUGAGAUGGC